rnacentral:rRNA from 1 species
GGGGAGGUUAAUCGGGAUUCUGGGCGUAAGCGCACGCAGGCGGUCUGUCAAGUCGGAUGUGAAAUCCCCGGGCUCAACCUGGGAACUGCAUUCGAAACUGGCAGGCUAGAGUCUUGUAGAGGGGGGUAGAAUUCCAGGUGUAGCGGUGAAAUGCGUAGAGAUCUGGAGGAAUACCGGUGGCGAAGGCGGCCCCCUGGACAAAGACUGACGCUCAGGUGCGAAAGCGUGGGGAGCAAACAGGAUUAGAUACCCUGGUAGCCCACGCCGUAAACGAUGUCGACUUGGAGGUUGUGCCCUUGAGGCGUGGCUUCCGGAGCUAACGCGUUAAGUCGACCGCCUGGGGAGUACGGCCGCAAGGUUAAAACUCAAAUGAAUUGACGGGGGCCCGCACAAGCGGUGGAGCAUGUGGUUUAAUUCGAUGCAACGCGAAGAACCUUACCUACUCUUGACAUCCAGAGAACUUUCCAGAGAUGGAUUGGUGCCUUCGGGAACUCUGAGACAGGUGCUGCAUGGCUGUCGUCAGCUCGUGUUGUGAAAUGUUGGGUUAAGUCCCGCAACGAGCGCAACCCUUAUCCUUUGUUGCCAGCGGUUAGGCCGGGAACUCAAAGGAGGCUGCCAGUGAUAAACUGGAGGAAGGUGGGGAUGACGUCAAGUCAUCAUGGCCCUUACGAGUAGGGCUACACACGUGCUACAAUGGCGCAUACAAAGAGAAGCGACCUCGCGAGAGCAAGCGGACCUCAUAAAGUGCGUCGUAGUCCGGAUUGGAGUCUGCAACUCGACUCCAUGAAGUCGGAAUCGCUAGUAAUCGUAGAUCAGAAUGCUACGGUGAAUACGUUCCCGGGCCUUGUACACACCGCCCGUCACACCAUGGGAGUCAAUUGCUCCAGAAGUCGGCGUGCCAACCGCAAGGAGGCAGCCGCCCAAGGAGUGAUUGGUGACUGGGGGUGAAGUCGUAACAAGGUAACC